rnacentral:rRNA from 1 species
AGAGUUUGAUCCUGGCUCAGAGUGAACGCUGGCGGCAGGCCUAACACAUGCAAGUCGAACGGCAGCACAGGAGAGCUUGCUCUCUGGGUGGCGAGUGGCGGACGGGUGAGGAAUACAUCGGAAUCUACCUUUUCGUGGGGGAUAACGUAGGGAAACUUACGCUAAUACCGCAUACGACCUUCGGGUGAAAGCAGGGGACCUUCGGGCCUUGCGCGAUUAGAUGAGCCGAUGUCGGAUUAGCUAGUUGGUGAGGUAAAGGCUCACCAAGGCGACGAUCCGUAGCUGGUCUGAGAGGAUGAUCAGCCACACUGGAACUGAGACACGGUCCAGACUCCUACGGGAGGCAGCAGUGGGGAAUAUUGGACAAUGGGCGCAAGCCUGAUCCAGCCAUGCCGCGUGGGUGAAGAAGGCCUUCGGGUUGUAAAGCCCUUUUGGUGGGAAAGAAAAGCAGUCGAUUAAUACUCGAUUGUUCUGACGGUACCCAAAGAAUAAGCACCGGCUAACUUCGUGCCAGCAGCCGCGGUAAUACGAAGGGUGCAAGCGUUACUCGGAAUUACUGGGCGUAAAGCGUGCGUAGGUGGUGAUUUAAGUCCGUUGCGAAAGCCCUGGGCUCAACCUGGGAAUUGCAGUGGAUACUGGGUCACUAGAGUGUGGUAGAGGGUAGCGGAAUUCCCGGUGUAGCAGUGAAAUGCGUAGAGAUCGGGAGGAACAUCUGUGGCGAAGGCGGCUACCUGGACCAACACUGACACUG